UUCGCCUAGUAGGAAAACCCUAUUUGUCCGCUCGAGCAGAGCAAGGGAUUCGUCAGGUGGCGGCGGCUCGCGAGUACGAGCUCGACGGCGGCUGAGCAUCGUCGGCUUCGGGAGUUGGAGACUCGCGAGUACGAGUACCCACAUGUGUCUGUAGAUUGAGAGAGCAGUCAGGCGGCGGCGACUCGCGAGUACGAGCUCGACGGCGGCUGAGCAUCGUCGGGUUCGGGAGUUGGAGAGGAUGAGGGGGAGGCGGCGGCGCGGCGGGCGCCUGGAGUCUCGGCAUCCGACCUCAGGUCCAAGCUGCCGACGGAGGCUGUUGCGCCGCGAGCACGCUGAGCCUGAGGUAGCUGGACGACGGCCACAGCGAUGCACGAGGAGGCGAGCCCGAGGCGGUGGGUGGCGGCGGAUCCAGUCAUGCUCCUCCUGAAUUCCCCGUCGUCGUGCUACCGAGGGCGUCUUCACCCAGAUCUCCUCACGCCGGUGCGCAUGGCGACUCCUGCCGCUGGUUCCGCCUGCCGGUCGCGACGACGUAAACGAACAGAGCAUGUGCUCGCGGCGGAGGAUGCUCUCUCGCUCCCGCGGAACGCUUGCCUCGCCCGCCGCCACGGACAAGAGGGAGUAUUUCUUUAUGUAAUUGGCAAGCGCUGGUGGAAAGUGACAACAGAAGUUUUCUUGCUAUUGCGGCAGGCAACAAAAUGGAGCAUAUUCCAGAAGGAUUUAUUUUGCACAUAAAAGUGAUGGCUUGGGCCUUCGGCACCAUGGCGGCAUCAGUUUGCACGUUGUCGCUCCACUUGUAUUGCUGGUUGCAAAGAAAGGUGCGAACAGUCCAUUAGGAGGUGAAACUUAAGCACUAUAUAGUGAAAAUUUCCCUAGCAUUGUGCGAGCUGCUGCUGUUGCAUUUAAAUCGGUUUGUCCAAAUCGACAGUCCGAGGCUCCAAUCGAUGCAGUCGCGACCCCGCCUCUAUCAGCUCACCACCCAACCAGUUACACUCAGUUAUGUGACAGUUUUGAUUCAUUCUACAGAAUUAUUGGAACUCUGGAAUGACCAAAUCCCAAUUCUGCUUCAAAGGUGAGUACUGCACGAGCAAGUCAAAUUUAUUGGGACGUAGAAGAGGCAGCAAGCACAUCUAGCAGCCGGAGACAAGCAACAGUUUGUUCCCCAACAGCAACAGCAAUCCUGUUUUGUCUGGCGAAUAGUGACGAUGGCAUCAUCCACGUCUGUCGAACUGGUGGACACUUACAGCAGGUAUGCUAGCUCCUCAGAUUAAAUACAUAAUAUUAAGUUUGUUACAGUUUAUGGAUGAAACUGGGAAUCAGGUUCUACAAGCAUGCCUCAUAGUUAUGUAUAGUUUUUUUGUACAUUUGGUGUGCUGAACUCCUAUUUAAAGACGUUAUCAUUAUCCAUCUGAUCCUUCUGUUUGUUAGUUGGUUUCUUGAAUAAAUCAGUUCAGACGAUUAAUUGAUUUUGAGUAGAACAUGUCUUGCAUUAUAAGCUCCCAGCAGUUAUAUUUCAGAUCAGUAUUCGAGCUGAAAGGAGGCACUUAGGUUAGGAAACACCCAAGAUUUGACUCGCAGUACUAACAAAAGGAAAGAUACAUUUAUCAGAAUAGAAAUACAUUUAUCAUUUAAAAGCAAGGUAUGUUACAUAUUUGUUUUCAGUGAUUAAGACAUGGCUGGGGGAAACUCAAUAAGUAAACUUACAAAGAAAGAGACCAUUAUCAUUUUGGCGUGUAAUAUGUUUCCUUUCAUUAAUAUGUGAGUACACCUGUAUCAAGCCGUCCAAAUAAUAAAAGACAAAAAAUUAUUAGUGUGAGACAAUUGGUAAACCUACAUAUAUGUAAAUUAUCCGAUUAGGAAUCUAUUGAAAAUAGAUCAUUCAUAUCAUAAAUAACCAACAUGCAUUGGUUUUAUGCAUGUUAUUAGUUGCGGUCGUUCAUAAUUGUAUUAUUAUUAGUUCCGAAUUCAAAUUUCGAAAAAACAUUGCAUCCAAAAAAAUGUUACCAGGUGUUCAUCCUAUAUACAUAUACCUAAAAUAGGCUAGCCCGUGCGAAGGCACGGGUUGACGACUAGUUGCUACUAAAUAAGGAUCUUGGCCGAGAGAAUCUAGAGUAUGGUGUAUGGUCUAGAAAAGGAGCAAGAGUGCACUCGAGCAUGUUUAGGGGGAGGUAUGUUCGGGGCGGAGGCCACAGGGGGGAGCUAUGCCCGGCUGGAUGACCAUAAAGGGCGAGGGCGAAUUCCUUCUUUUAAGUAUAAACAUAUACUCCCUUUGUUCACUAAUACGAAAUGUUUUGGAUAUUUUAAUAUGAACUACGUACAGGAAUGAGUGAACAAAACACUCUAAAACGUGUCUAUAUACACUUGAUUCAGAAAAAGUUAGAACAUCUUAUAAUGGUUAAUGGAGGGAGUACUUAGAGAAUAAAAUCCUUCCCUAGCUAAUGGUGGAUCAACAACACUGAGUUUGAAGAGAUAGAGGAAUUAUUUGAUCCUGCACAUUGGAGCAUACGAAGGAAGCAUCGACACCAAUAUGCUUGGUGAGCUAUGUUGCACGGAGUCAUGCACAAUACUGAUAUCACAUCUAAAUAGACAAGACUCCCAACAAGAUGAUGAUAGCGCGUCAGAUCAAACAAAGGUGGAUGUUGAGCUCCAUGGGAGUUUCAUGCCACUUGAGAGGAUGAAGGCUCUAGCAACAUCGUGCGAGAGGCAUCGGCGCUAGCGAGUUUGCCACCAUCCUAGCCACGACGACAAUGCCGCACAGCAUAUAGUAGGAAAGUGGAGCGACAAUGCCGCGGGAGGAGGUGCACUCGAACGGGGGGCACUGCACUGCAGUCUAUUUCAUCUUUCGGGCAAGUGCCAGGCAGAUAAACAAGGCUUGCAACAAAAUGUCGAUAAAGCGCCAUAUCAGAGAGUAGGUCAACAUCACUAGCAGGGAGGUGAACAUUAAGCUCCAUGGGAGUCUCAACAUGCGCUCAUUAGUAAGAGCAGCGCGAGUAAGAAGAUCCUAAAUUAUUACUUUUGAGCAAGAAGGGACCUCAAUCCCAAGAAAGUAGCAGAGAGGGCCAAGAUAAGACAUAAGAAAGUGGGAGCAAAAACGAAGUGACUUAGAAUGAGAACGUGGUAUGAAAUGUCUAGACGAGUGACAUCUAAAUAGACAAGACUCCCAACAAGAUGAUGAUAGCGCGUCAGAUCAAACAAAGGUGGAUGUUGAGCUCCAUGGGAGUUUCAUGCCACUUGAGAGGAUGAAGGCUCUAGCAACAUCGUGCGAGAGGCAUUGGCGCUAGCGAUUUUGCCACCAUCCUAGCCAUGACGACAAUGCCGCGGAGCAUAUAGUAGGAAAGUGGAGCGAUGACGCCGCGGGAGGAGGUGCACUCGAACGGGGGGGCACUGCACUGUAGUCUGUUUCUUUCGGGCAAGUGCCAGGCAGAUAAACAAGGCUUGUAACAAAAUGUCGAUGAAGCGCCAGAUCAGACAGUAGGUCAACAUCACUACCAGGGAGGUGAACAUUGAGCUCCAUGGGAGUCUCAACAUGCGCUCAUUAGUAAGAGCAGCGCGAGUCAGAAGAUCCUAAAUUAUUACUUUUGAGCAGGAAGGGACCUUAAUCCCAAGAAAGUAGCAGAGAGGGCCAAGAUAAGACAUAAGAAACUGCAUACUAAGACAUGCCUUAACAAAGGCAAAUAUACUCAUGGUCUGCGUCAGUGAUGAUCAUGUCAUCAAUAUAUAGAAGAAGAGUCCUACCAGGAGCAGAAAGGAGGACAAACAACGUUGGAUCAUGAGCACUCGAUGAAAACCAGCAACAACCACCAUAGAGGCAAAACGCUCAAACCAGGUGUGAGGGGCUUGCUUAGAGCCAUAGUGAGCGAUGAAGACGACAAAUCAUGUCGUAAGGAGUAGAAUACCCAGUGGUGGCUGUAUGUAAACCUCCUCACGCAACUCACCAUUAAGAAAUGCAUUCUUAACAUUCAAGCCUAGACACAGAUUAGUGGCGAACAGAGGCCAUAAUAAGUGUGCGAACAGUGGUCAAAGAAAGUCUCAUCGUAAUCAGGACCAUGCUCGUGCUGAAAGCCAUGACCCACAACACGAGCUUUGUAACGCCCAAGAGAACCAUCAGAGUGAGUCCUAACCUUGUAGACCCACAAAGUGAUGGGAUGAACACGAGGAGGAACAUAAACAAUAUCCCACGUGCCGAUGCGCUCAAGAGCAGCAGUCUCCUCUGCCAUCACAAGGUGCCAUUUGGUAUGAACAACAUCACAGCAAGAAGUUGGCUCAAGAACAGCAUCGCCAACGCUUGGAAGACAUUGGCGGUCAACAUGCCAAAGCGGACGAGGACGGAAGCCAUAAGUAGGCUGAAACGGGGAAGAUGGCACAUCGGUAGACGCAUCCACAACAUGUAGAUGUCCUAUGUAGAAGUUAGGAAAAGAUGGAAGAAUACGAGCUGGAAUCAUCGGGAUAAACUUAGGUGAUGGAGAUAAGGAAGCCAGCAGUGAUGAAGGUGUAGAAUCAUGUGAUACGUGAGGUGAGGAAAUCAUAGGAGAUGAUGGCGUUGGUUCUACAAUAAUCAGAGAAGAGUGUCGGGAAAACUGUGGAAAGAGAUAUACUCCACUUAAAAGGCCGAAGAAGAUGGACUCAACAAAAGUCAUAUCCCGAGAAAUAGGCAUCCGAUGACCAACAUGAUCCCAACAACAAUAUCCCUUAUGCUCAUCGUUGUAUCCUAAGAAGACACACUCAACAGACUGACAAGUUAGUUUGGUGCGUUCACGAGGGGCAAGGACAUAGAAAACACAACCAAACAAUUGAAGCGUCGAAUAAACGAUCAAAUAGACGCUCGAAAGGAGCGUCACCCUGCAGAGCAGUGGAUUGCUAAAGGUUGAUGAGAUAGAUGGAAGUGGAGACGGACUUGACCCAAAAGUGCGGCGGAAGAGAGGCGGUGACCAUCAACGGACGAGUCGUCUCAAGAAGGUGACGAUGCUUGCGCUCAACCACGCCAUUCUAAGCAUGAGCACCAGGAUAAGAGAACCAAAGUCUGCUCAGAAAGGAUUCCACUAGAGCCAUCAUAGAACACAUGAAUAGGCGUAGAGAACUGAGUGUGAACCAUGGCAGCAAAAAGCUUAUAAGACCUCACUACAAGAAGAAAUAAAGUAUAUCCAGGUGUGUCAAGAGAAGCUACUACCAGAGGCAAAGGCAGAUGGACCCUUGAGAUCAUGUUGAACAAGGUCGGAAGGACGCUGAGGCACUGUCUCGCUACGAGUAUAAGGUAACUAGACCGUGGGACUAGGGAUAUCAUCGGAGACAGAUCCAAGAAGACCACGUCGAACUAAGGAUGAGAGAUCACAAGUGACCCAAGGGGAUGAUGCCAAUCCUGAAAAUAACUGGUAGACAAGGCAACAAAGGCAGAUACUGGUGGCGGUGGCAGCAGAGGGACUUGAUCCAGCAUCCACGUGCUUGUGCACUCUUCGUACCCCACCGAUCUGGCUUGGCGCUCUUUUUCCUGUUUGCGGGUUGUGGGUCACGCACUUGAUUAAGCACCCCAAGUUCUCCUACUGCGCCCUUGGCCUCGACUUUAGGUAGCGCCUGUCCUCGGCUUGUCUCGUGUAUAAUCCAGGUACGCGUCGACUGUCCGAGCUCCUGCUCACCAUUGGUGGUGCUCGAGCGUGCGGUUAUGGUGUCGCACACAAAGGGAACAUGGGAUGUGGGAUUGAGACAGUACUCAUAGCAACCCGCAGCAAGGCAAAGAAUGCCCAUCCAGACUGGCAGGGAGCAAAGGUGGGCAGAAAGGUGGACGUUGACUCCGUAGGAGUGAGUCUCAACAGUGCGCUCAUCAGUAAGAGCGGCACGAGCAAGAAGAUUCUGGAUAUACUUCUCUUAGGAAAUAAGGAACAAUCUCAAGGAAGUAGCGAAGAGGACCAAGAUUCAGCAAUGACCUUAUCACUAAGAGCAGCAUGAGCAAGAAGAUCCUGAAUGUACUUCUCUUGGGAAAUAAAGAAGCCAUUAGAGGUAGAAGAAACCUCAGUUCCAAGUAGUGAAAGGGACCAAGAUCAGACAUUAAAUCUAUUCAUAAGACGAGCCUUCAAAAAGGCAAUGCACUCAAAGUUGUUGGUAGUGAUGAUCAUGUCAUCGACAUAUAGGAGCAAAGCUCGACCAUGAGCUUAAAGAUGGAUAUAAAGUGCAGGAUCAUGAGCGUUUGCAGAAACUAGUCGCAGUCAUCGUUGAGACAAAAAACCUCAAACCGUGCAUGAGGGCUAAAGGUAUAGAGAGAGUGACAAAUAUGGCAGAUCAUGCCAUCAGGGAAAAAUAUCUAUGUGGUGGCUACAUGUAGACCUUCUCAUGCAACUCACCAUUAAAAAAGACAUUCUUGACAUCAAGCUAAGAGACAGACAGUGGCGAGCAAAUAUCACAACGAGAAGUGUGCGGGGAGUGGUCAUGUGGGCCAUAUGAGAAAAUGUCUUAUCGUAGUCAUAGCCAUGUUCCUAUUGAAAGCCACAAGUCACAAGACGAGCUUUGUAAGGCAAGGGAACCAUCAUAGUCUAAAUCUUGUAGACCAAUGUACAAUAUACAAGUGAUGGGUUGAGCAUGAGGAGGAAGGGAAAUGAGAUCCCAUGUGUCAGUGCGUUCAAGAGCAGCAAUCUCCUCUGCCAUCGCAUGUCGCCGUUUGGGUGAACAUCGUGUCACAGUAAGUGGUAUUGAGAAGAGCAGCGCCAGAACACCCAUAGUGAUCAAUAGGUGGAAGCGGGCAAGCGCAGAAGCUAGGUUGAGCUUGAGGCAGUGCGUUUCCAAUAGGAGACAUGGUAAUGGGGGGAGAUUGCUCAUCGAAAGAUGAUGCAUCAGAAGAAUCCACAAGAUGCGGACGACUAGUGUAGUAAAGAAGAGGAUGCGGGGGAAUCACCGGGGAAGUCUUAGGGGACGAAUGAGGUCGGGAAGCCACAGGUGACGAUGAUGUGGGGUCUACAAUAGUAGUAUAGGGAGACACAUUGGAAUGGAUGUAGGAGGGCAAAACAUGAGUGAUAGGUGUAUCGGAAAGCGUUACGAAAGAAAUAUCCUCAAUGGGAGAGGCCGAAGGAGAGGAUGUACGUGGAUAGAAAGGACGAGACUCGUCAAAAGUCACACCCUGAGGAAUGCGCAUUCACCGAUUGAUAGGAUCCCAACAUUGAUAGCCCUUGUGCUCAUCAGCGUAACCUAAGAAGACACAUUCCAUAGACUAAGCAGUCAGUUUGGCGCGUUCAGGGGGGGAGAAGAACGUAGUAAACACAACAAAACAAAUGAAGCGCUCAGUAGCCAUGAGAACGACAAACAAACACUCGAUAGGAAUGUCACCUUGCAAAGCAAGGAAGGCUGACUUUGACGGGGUAGGUGGAAGUAGAAACAACUUCAACCCAAAAGUGAGGUGAAAGAGAGGUGUUGAUCUUCGAUGCAUAAGCCGCCUCAAGAAGUUGAUGAUUCUUACACUUAGCAAACCAUUCUGAGCAUCAGGGCCACAACAUGAGAACUGAGAAAGUGUGCCCUGCUCAGCAAGGAAUCCGCACAACAAAUGAUAGAUGAACUCACAAGCAAAAUCUUCAUGGAAGACACAAUUGGGAGUGGAAAACCCGGUAUGAAGCAUGGGGGCGAACUUCUUACUGAUAGAUAAGACCUCACUACAAGAAAAUCAUACAAUAUAUCCAUGUGUGUUGAGAGAAAACAUCUAUAAAGAUAAUAUAGUGGUGAUGGCCUCUUUUUGAGGCAAAGGGAGUUGGACCCCAAACAUCAAAAUGAAUAAGACAGAAAGGACGAGACACAAUCUCACUAGUAAUUGAACCUGUUUGCCAAGCCGACAAACCUAAUAGUCUAAAGACACCGCUAGAGAUAGGUCCAAGAAGACCACUUUGAACUAAGGAUGAGAAACAAGAACCACACAAGUGAAAAAGAUGAUGAUGCCACAAAGAGACAGUAAACGAAGUAACCAAGGCGAAGAGACUGUCGAUGGUGGCAGCAAAGCGACCAGUCAAGCUCCCAGAGGAUGUGGGAGUUACAACGAUGAUGGCCAACACAAGUAAAGCAUCCAUCUGAGGAUCGUAAUCAGAACAAGAGUUAAACUAAAGAAUGGUUGUACAACCAAAGUCGACAAUCUGACCACCUAAAAUGAGC